rnacentral:rRNA from 1 species
GACGAACGCUGGCGGCGUGGAUUAGGCAUGCAAGUCGAACGGUAGGAUACCUUCGGGUAUCUGAGAGUGGCGAACGGGUGAGUAACACGUAGGUGAUCUACCCUCAAGAUUGGGACAACCCAGGGAAACUUGGGCUAAUACCGGAUGAAAGCAGCAGUGAUGUUGUUUGAAAGGUGGCGUAAGCUGCCGUUUGGGGAUGAGCCUGCGCUCUAUUAGUUAGUUGGCGGGGUAAAGGCCCACCAAGGCGAUGAUAGAUAGGCGGCCUUAACGGGUGGUCGCCCACACUGGGAUUGAGAUACGGCCCAGACUCCUACGGGAGGCAGCAGUCGAGAAUAGUCUACAAAAUGGCCGAAAGGCUGAUAGUGCGACGCCGCGUGAACGAAGAAGCCCUUCGGGGUGUAAAGUUCUUUUAUAUGUGAGCAGUGCUUUCUAUGUGAACAGCAUGGGGAGAGAGAUAUUAGCAUAUGAAUAAGCAACGGCUAACUCCGUG